UGGGGAAUCUUCCGCAAUGGGCGCAAGCCUGACGGAGCAACGCCGCGUGAGUGAAGAAGGGUUUCGACUCGUAAAGCUCUGUUGUCGGGGACGAAUGUGGAGGUUGUGAAUAACAGCUUCCAAUGACGGUACCUUUCAAGAAAGCCACGGCUAACUACGUGCCAGCAGCCGCGGUAAUACGUAGGUGGCGAGCGUUGUCCGGAAUGAUUGGGCGUAAAGGGAGCGCAGGCGGGAAAGUAAGUCUAUCUUAAAAGUGCGGGGCUCAACCCCGUGAGGGGAUGGAAACUAUUUUUCUUGAGUGCAGGAGAGGAAAGCGGAAUUCCUAGUGUAGCGGUGAAAUGCGUAGAUAUUAGGAGGAACACCAGUGGCGAAGGCGGCUUUCUGGACUGUAACUGACGCUGAGGCUCGAAAGCCAGGGGAGCGAACGGGAUUAGAUACCCUGGUAGU
rnacentral:rRNA from 1 species